AUCCCAGGGUCAUCAAACAGUCGAUUCAUUAAAGCUACAUUAAAGACUAGUAUGUCUUAGCAUGUUAAAUGAAUAAAUUGCAGGUAACUGCGAUGGUAGUUACAGUUUUUAGCAGCGAGGUC